CCUACGGGUGGCAGCAGUGGGGAAUAUUGGGCAAUGGGCGCAAGCCUGACCCAGCAACGCCGCGUGAAGGAAGAAGGCUUUCGGGUUGUAAACUUCUUUUCUGAGGGACGACGAAAGUGACGGUACCUCAGGAAUAAGCCACGGCUAACUACGUGCCAGCAGCCGCGGUCAUACGUAGGUGGCAAGCGUUAUCCGGAUUGAUUGGGGGUAAAGGGCGUGGAAGCGGGAAAGCAAGGCAGAUGUGAAAACUCAGGGCUCAAACCUGAGCCUGCAAUUGAAACUGGUGUUCUUGAGUGCUGGAGAGGCAAGCGGAAUGCCGUGUGUAGCGGUGAAAUGCGGAGAUAUACGGAGGAACACCAGUGGCGAAGGCGGAUUGCUGGACAGUAACUGACGCUGAGGCGCGAAAGCGUGGGGAGCAAACAGGAUUAGAUACCCUAGUAGUC
rnacentral:rRNA from 1 species